rnacentral:rRNA from 1 species
GGGUCAGUAGGUUGGUCGUGCCACCGGUACGUACUGGUCUCACUGAUUCCUCCUUCCUGAAGAACCGUAAUGCCAUUAAUUUGGUGUCGCGGGGAAACAGGACUGUUACUUCGAAAAAAUUAGAGUGUUUAAAGCAAGCUAACGCUUGAAUACAUUAGCAUGGAAUAAUGAAAUAGGACGAUCGAUCCUAUUUUGUUGGUUUCUAGGAUUGACGUA